rnacentral:rRNA from 1 species
ACGGCAUUGAGUGCUUGCACUCUUUGGACGUCGACCGGCGCACGGGUGAGUAACGCGUAUCCAACCUUCCCAUUACUGUGGGAUAACCUGCCGAAAGGCAGACUAAUACCGCAUAGUCUUCGAUGACGGCAUCAGAUUUGAAGUAAAGAUUUAUCGGUAAUGGAUGGGGAUGCGUCUGAUUAGCUUGUUGGCGGGGUAACGGCCCACCAAGGCUACGAUCAGUAGGGGUUCUGAGAGGAAGGUCCCCCACAUUGGAACUGAGACACGGUCCAAACUCCUACGGGAGGCAGCAGUGAGGAAUAUUGGUCAAUGGACGGAAGUCUGAACCAGCCAAGUAGCGUGCAGGAUGACGGCCCUAUGGGUUGUAAACUGCUUUUGUAUGGGGAUAAAGUUAGGGACGUGUCCCUAUUUGCAGGUACCAUACGAAUAAGGACCGGCUAAUUCCGUGCCAGCAGCCGCGGUAAUACGGAAGGUCCAGGCGUUAUCCGGAUUUAUUGGGUUUAAAGGGAGCGUAGGCUGGAGAUUAAGUGUGUUGUGAAAUGUAGACGCUCAACGUCUGACUUGCAGCGCAUACUGGUUUCCUUGAGUACGCACAACGUUGGCGGAAUUCGUCGUGUAGCGGUGAAAUGCUUAGAUAUGACGAAGAACUCCGAUUGCGAAGGCAGCUGACGGGAGCGCAACUGACGC